rnacentral:rRNA from 1 species
AUUGAACGCUGGCGGCAGGCCUAACACAUGCAAGUCGAGCGGAUGACAGGAGCUUGCUCCUUGAUUCAGCGGCGGACGGGUGAGUAAUGCCUAGGAAUCUGCCUGGUAGUGGGGGACAACGUUUCGAAAGGAACGCUAAUACCGCAUACGUCCUACGGGAGAAAGCAGGGGACCUUCGGGCCUUGCGCUAUCAGAUGAGCCUAGGUCGGAUUAGCUAGUAGGUGAGGUAAUGGCUCACCUAGGCGACGAUCCGUAACUGGUCUGAGAGGAUGAUCAGUCACACUGGAACUGAGACACGGUCCAGACUCCUACGGGAGGCAGCAGUGGGGAAUAUUGGACAAUGGGCGAAAGCCUGAUCCAGCCAUGCCGCGUGUGUGAAGAAGGUCUUCGGAUUGUAAAGCACUUUAAUUUGGGAGGAAGGGCAGUAAGUUAAUACCUUGCUGUUUUGACGUUACCGACAGAAUAAGCACCGGCUAACUCUGUGCCAGCAGCCGCCGUAACAC